rnacentral:pre_miRNA from 1 species
CCCACACCCAUGUGUGUAGGACCCCAAAGGAUCCCCAUUAAAUUUGAUACAGAUCUCUAAAAAAGUUAUCACAUAUGAGACUUGACUUUUCUAGAGAUCUGUGUCAAAUUUAAUGGUGAUCCUUUGGGGGUCCUACACACGUGGGUGUGGG